rnacentral:rRNA from 1 species
CCUACGGGUGGCAGCAGUGAGGAAUAUUGGUCAAUGGACGCAAGUCUGAACCAGCCAUGCCGCGUGCAGGAAGACGGCCCUAUGAGUUGUAAACUGCUUUUGUACGAGGGUAAACGCAGAUACGCGUAUCUGUCUGCAAGUACCGUACGAAUAAGGAUCGGCUAACUCCGUGCCAGCAGCCGCGGUAAUACGGAGGGUUCAAGCGUUACCCGGAUUUAUUGGGUUUAAAGGGUGCGUAGGCGGUCUGAUAAGUUAGAGGUGAAAUGCCGGGGCUCAACGUGGGAAUUGCCGCUGAUACUGUUCGGCUAGAGAGUAGUUGCGGUAGGCGGAAUGUAUGGUGUAGCGGUGAAAUGCUUAGAGAUCAUACAGAACACCGAUUGCGAAGGCAGCUUACCGAGCUACUUCUGACGUUGAGGCACGAAAGCGUGGGGAGCAAACAGGAUUAGAUACCCUUGUAGUC